CCUACGGGUGGCAGCAGUGAGGAAUAUUGGACAAUGGACGAGAGUCUGAACCAGCCAAGUAGCGUGAAGGAUGACUGCCCUAUGGGUUGUAAACUUCUUUUAUAUGGGAAUAAAAUGUUCCACGUGUGGGAUUUUGUAUGUACCAUAUGAAUAAGGAUCGGCUACCUCCGUGCCAGCAGCCGCGGUAAUACGGAGGAUCCGAGCGUUAUCCGGAUUUAUUGGGUUUAAAGGGAGCGUAGGUGGAUUGUUAAGUCAGUUGUGAAAGUUUGCGGCUCAACCGUAAAAUUGCAGUUGAAACUGGCAGUCUUGAGUACAGUAGAGGUGGGCGGAAUUCGUGGUGUAGCGGUGAAAGGCUUAGAUAUCACGAAGAACUCCGAUUGCGAAGGCAGCUCACUGGACUGCAACUGACACUGAGGCUCGAAAGUGUGGGUAUCAAACAGGAUUAGAUACCCCUGUAGUC
rnacentral:rRNA from 1 species